UGUGUGUGUGUGUGUGUCAUAUAUAUUUAUAUAUAUGACGUUUAUAUAUAUAAACUAUAACCGCAUUUCACAUUUAUCGCAAAUAUCCCGCUGCUUCGGGUUUUCCUUUGUAGGCGCGUUGGGAGGAGGCGCGGGCGAAUCCGCUGUCAGUGCGUGUGCAUGUAUCAGUUACGUGGGUUUAUCCAAUAAGUGGUAGGGUACCCGCACAUCAUUGGCAUUUAUGCGCGCUUGUCUCUGUGUGCGUGUGUGAAUGAGAAUAACAGGAAGGAAGAGUGCUACACGGAGAUUAAUAAACGGAACAAUAUUUAUAUUUAAAAACCGUGAAAAAAAAAAAUCGGAAUCAAUUUGUGGCGCUCUUGGUUCAUUCUGUGGCGCUGCGCAACACAUUGGUCUAUGUAUGGGAAACACAUUGCGAUGUGAGGUGCUUGGCGGGGUAGGGGUGUUUCUCGGAACUCAAUUGACAGUGAGAAAAAAUGGAAGGAUUUGGUGCUGGUUCACAAUAGCAUUACAAACACUACACGUACUAUUGCGCAAGCACACACGCAGGCACGCUUGCUGCGCGCCUGCGUGCUUGCGCAAUAGUGCCUUCACAAGCUCUCAUUCCACACCAUACGAGAUAGACACUGGUAGCGUGAAGCAGGCAAGAUCACUUCCGCAGGCAACUCUGUCCCGUUUUCUGCCUUUCAUUCCAACCCGUGAGCAACGCAAGUCUCACUUCUCUGCCGAAUGCAUAAAAAAAAAUAA